UUGCUUUGGCAGCACAUGUGCUAAAAGUGCAAUGAUAAAGAGAAAUUAGCACGCCCUUGUGCAAGGACGGCAUGCAAAUUCAUGACACGGUUCAUAUUUUC
rnacentral:snRNA from 1 species